AAAAUAUGAUUCAAGAUCCUGAACCUGCUAAAAUUGAGGUAAAACAACUUCUUUAUGAUAUUUAUGCUAUAUAUGAUAAAAAAAUUCGUGGAUCUAGAUUCUCCGUACAAUGCUCUAUUUCUUCUUCUAGUAGUUCUCGUUCGUCAUCUAUUUUUUCAUUCAUUGCACAGAGAAAACACACACAUGCUUCAAGUUCAUCUUCAUCUUCUUCAUCUUUAAGUAGUGAACUAGAAUUUUAUUUACGAAA
rnacentral:lncRNA from 1 species